GGGCUCGUAGUAUAGUCUGGAUAUUACGUGGGCCUCCGGAGCCUAUAACCUGGGUUCAAAUCCCAGCGAGCCCG
rnacentral:tRNA from 2 species